AAUAGAUACCCAGGUAGUCCACGCCGUAAACGAUGGAUACUAGGUGUUCGGUGGAUUAACCCACUGAGUACCGGAGUUCACACAUUAAGUAUCCCGCCUGGGGAGUACGGUCGCAAGGCUAAAACUCAAAGGAAUUGACGGGGGCCCGCACAAGCGGUGGAGUAUGUGGUUUAAUUCGAAGCAACGCGAAAAACCUUACCUGGCCUUGACAUCUCUUGAUAGCCGUGGAGACACGGUUUUGACUUCGGUCACAGGAUGACAGGUGCUGCAUGGCUAUCGUCAGCUCGUGUUGUGAAAUGUUCGGUUAAGUCCGGCAACGAGCGCAACCCCUGUCCUUAGUUACCAGCAUUAAGUUGGGGACUCUAGGGAGACUGCCGGUGUUAAACCGGAGGAAGGCGGGGAUGACGUCAAGUCCGCAUGGCCCUUACGGCCAGGGCUACACACGUACUACAAUGGCAGAAACAAACCGUCGCGAAACUGUAAAGUGGAGCUAAUCGGAAAACACUGUCCCAGUCCGGAUUGAGGUCUGCAACUCGACCUCAUGAAGUUGGAAUCGCUAGU
rnacentral:rRNA from 1 species